ACAUUAUUUAAAAAAUAAAAAAAAUAUAAUCUCUCUUAUUAUUAAAAUUAUAUUGAUCAAGAAAAUCAAUAACAAAACAAUAACAAGACAAGUAGCGACAUCGCGAAAUUAACUUAUUAUGUUAUUACCAUCAUUGUUAUGUUAUUAACAUCAUCAUUUAUUUUUCUUUGUUUCUCUUUUUCUUUUUUCUUUUAUCUGGUGAAUGAUAAAUAAUAGAAUACAGUAUGUACAAUCCCUCCAAUCAAUCGCAUGCAAACUUCCGUUCUGGCAAUCUUUUUCACGAUAAUUUGCGCGGUUUUGCAAUUUCGAUCGUUGAUGAUUCGUGUACACGGCUCGAAUUAAUUCAAUGUUCGUAGAUUUAAUGUUCAUGUGAGACAUAAUGGGAGACACGGAUUCCAGACUUUGCAUCCUUGUGUAGAUUAUUUUAACGAGUGGAUUGCACGCCAGGACGAGGGAACAAAAGACGACACGUACGACACUCGAAAACGAGACGAAAAGGAAGAUGGCGUAUUAGCGUGUCGCGAGGGUUGAAAGCUUUGAGAUCGAACAGGAGAUAUACGAGUAGCGCGACACGUUCGCCAUUACUGUCACGUAUACGGUGUCAAAGAAUAUGGAUCUGAUAAGUAUGUGUGAAGGCGUGGAAGUUGCUUUUGAAAUCAUGCUACGUGCAAAUUGUGGAACGUUCUCCUCAUAAUCCUCCGCAAUGCCGCAGCACCGAAAAAUCUUCAAAGAGAAAGAGAGAGGAAAAGUGUAGUAUCGUUAAUCCCGGGGAUUAGAGACGUCGUUGAGAAAGGAAGGGUGCAGCGAGGUCAAGAUGCGUACGCGAAUCGCGUGGCUGUCCGCCUCUGGCUCGGAGGCGGCGGGGGUGGAUGGCCGAGCGAAGGUGGGCGGAGGGGUGCACGGGGGCACUUAACGUGGAGCUCAUUCAUCAGUCGACAACGUUCGGUGAUUCAUGCGACACACGCGAGCCGCGUGUGUGUAUACACGGCUUCUCUCGUCGGUCGAUGCCCACGAGAAACGUGUUUUACGCCCGAUUUCGCCGCAAUGAUGCACGCCAACGCGCUCCAAAUCGAUCCCAUACGAUCGAUCCUCCAUAAAGUUGUCCUACGACCGAGAUAUUGGCAGAAGCCUGACCUCUCUUCGCGUGUACACACGUUUGAACACUCUCGUUUGUAUUAUCUUUAAGCUUGUUACAGGUUUUUAGAUGAAGAUUUUAAUAAUAAUUUCGAUUUUUUGGAUAUUUUGGAGGAUCGAGUUGAGUCUAUUCUAGGCAGUCGAAAGGGGGAAAAUAAA